UACGGAGGGUGCAAGCAUUAAUCGGAAUUAUUGGGCGUAAAGGGCGCGUAGGCGGAUUUGUAAGUCAGAUGUGAAAUUCCGAGGCUCAACCUCGGAGCUGCAUUUGAAACUAUAAAUCUGGAGGAUUGGCGGAGAAAACGGAAUUCCACAAGUAGCGGUGAAAUGCGUAGAUAUGUGGAAGAACACCGGUGGCGAAGGCGGUUUUCUAGCUUAUUCCUGACGCUGAGGCGCGAAAGCAAGGGGAGCAAACAGG
rnacentral:rRNA from 1 species